UAACUAGUCCGUAUUACCCUGGUAGUACGCUAACUUCUUAGAGGGACUAUCGGCUUAAGCCGAUAGAAGUUUAAGGUAAUAAUAGGUCUAUAAUGCCCUUAGAUAUUCUGGGCUGUACGCGCGUUAUAUUAACGGGGCUAGCGAGUCCUUCCUUAGCCGAAAGGCCCG
rnacentral:rRNA from 1 species